rnacentral:tRNA from 1 species
UCCCUGCUGGCUCAGAGGUUAAAGCAUAUGCCUCCAAUGUGGGAAACCCGGGUUCGAUCCCUGGGUCGGGAA